UUAAAUAGGUGGUCAAAAGCUGUCGACAAACUAAUGUAUGGGCUUGGUCGUAAAGUGCAGUCUAAAUUUCCAUUGUAGGGACCGUACAACUCUCGUCCUUGCCAGUGCGUGUGCGUGAUCCAGGCAAUGUCACGUACGCCCACCGCUUACUAUUGCUAAUAUUCACCCUUAACAUCCGCUCGCCCAGUCGGUAACAAUGCAAGAUAACUGCCACAAUUAACAGUCUAGUAAGUAGGUCAUCAGGUGACGCGCCGCCCUUUUGGCCAGUUUGAAAAAUCAGCAUAAAAAUGCGACACUUUCGCAAAGCGAUUUCAGUCUGUAAGCAGAAUUAAAUUGAGUGCAUUCAACAACAACACAACAGAAAACGAAACGAAACGAAACCAAAAGUAAAUGCGAAAUAGUACAAAAAUCUGUUACAAGUUCGAAUAAACCCGCAGCAAAGAUACUCCGAAAAUGAGGCGCACUCUUUGGCACAUGCUCACGGCCCAGCUCCUGCUCCUGGUACUCUGUUCGCUGCUCUCUCUCUGCUCCGGCGGCAAUAUGCAUCCUUUGAAAGUGGGCAAAAACUAUGUGUCGCUGCACAACCAGCCCAAGGACUUUCGCUCUUUAGUGAUGGAUAUUACCAAGUUUGUUCUCACUAUUGUGGGCAGAACGCGUUGAGCCACUUUUUUUUGUUUAUUGUUAAUUUUUUUUGAGCACGUAUUCCUUAUUUAUAGAAAGCAAAAGCUUUUGCCUCCAUCUAAUUUGUCCAAAGAUCGGACUAGUACCAUAUCUAUUACUAAGCUGGCGUCGAGAUUUGCAUUCCAAUCUGAGUCCUGCCCCCCCGCCCCCAAUUCAGUUCGGAGUUCCAAAAAUCUCCAUUAGAGACCGACAGAAAGGCCAGCGACCAGCGACCAGCAGAUCAGUGCAGAGACCGACAACCAUUGCCAAAGCAACGC